rnacentral:miRNA from 1 species
AGGAUCAACACUUGAGCAUA